rnacentral:rRNA from 1 species
UACGUAGGAUGCGAGCGUUGUCCGGAUUCACUGGGUGUAAAGGGAGCGCAGGCGGGUCGGUAAGUCAUUGGUGAAAUCUUCGGGCUCAACCCGGAAACUGCCACUGAUACUGCCGAUCUUGAGUGUGAAAGAGGUCGAUGGAAUUCCUGGUGUAGCGGUGAAAUGCGUAGAUAUCAGGAAGAACACCGAUGGCGAAGGCAGUCGACUGGUUCACAACUGACGCUCAUGCUCGAAAGCGUGGGGAUCAAACAGG